GCCGAAAUGAUGGAACUGGCAGACGUGCUGGACUCAAAAUCCUGUGGUGGCAACACCGUGCGGGUUCGAAUCCCGCUUUCGGCACCA
rnacentral:tRNA from 1 species